CCUACGGGUGGCUGCAGUGGGGAAUAUUGGACAAUGGGCGGAAGCCUGAUCCAGCAAUACCGCGUGUGUGAAGAAGGCCUGAGGGUUGUAAAGCACUUUCAAUAGGAAGGAAUACCUAUCCAUUAAUACUGGGUAGACUGACAUUACCUAUACAAGAAGCACCGGCUAACUCCGUGCCAGCAGCCGCGGUAAUACGGAGGGUGAAAGCGUUAAUGGGAAUUACUGGGCGGCGGCUCGUUAAGGGCGGCGCGAAAGCCCUGGGCUUAACCUGGGAAUGGCAUUUGAUACUGGCGAGCUAGAGUUGAGUAGAGGGGAGUGGAAUUUCAGGUGUAGCGGUGAAAUGCGUAGAGAUCUGAAGGAACACCAGUGGCGAAGGCGACUCCCUGGACUCAAACUGACGCUGAGGUACGAAAGCGUGGGUAGCAAACAGGAUUAGAUACCCCUGUAGUC
rnacentral:rRNA from 1 species